rnacentral:rRNA from 1 species
GGUUAAGCGACUAAGCGUACACGGUGGAUGCCCUGGCAGUCAGAGGCGAUGAAGGACGUGCUAAUCUGCGAUAAGCGUCGGUAAGGUGAUAUGAACCGUUAUAACCGGCGAUUUCCGAAUGGGGAAACCCAGUGUGUUUCGACACACUAUCAUUAACUGAAUCCAUAGGUUAAUGAGGCGAACCGGGGGAACUGAAACAUCUAAGUACCCCGAGGAAAAGAAAUCAACCGAGAUUCCCCCAGUAGCGGCGAGCGAACGGGGAGGAGCCCAGAGCCUGAAUCAGUGUGUGUGUUAGUGGAAGCGUCUGGAAAGGCGCGCGAUACAGGGUGACAGCCCCGUACACAAAAAUGCACA